rnacentral:sRNA from 2 species
GAGCGAUCAUAAGGGAGCUGACUGCAAAUCUGCCGUCAUCGACUUCAAGGUUCGACUCGAGCAAUAGUGAGAGAACGUUGCCGCAGGCGACGGCCCGAAGGGUGAGGAGCUUUAGCUCCGAAUAAUCCUUCCCGCUAUAGAA